CUAGUGGUGGUUAGGGUUAGAAAGAGUGGUUUCGGCUAUCACUUUAGGAUGGACCCGCGGUGCAUUAGUUAGUUGGUGAGGUAAAGGCUCACCAAGACCGUGAUGCAUAGCCGACCUGAGAGGUAAUCGGCCACACUGGGACUGAGACACGGCCCAGACUCCUACGGGAGGCAGCAGUAGGGAAUCUUCCACAAUGGACGAAAGUCUGAUGGAGCAACGCCGCGUGAGUGAAGAAGGUUUUCGGAUCGUAAAACUCUGUUGUUGGAGAAGAAUGUAUCUGAUAGUAACUGAUCAGGUAGUGACGGUAUCCAACCAGAAAGCCACGGCUAACUACGUG
rnacentral:rRNA from 1 species